CGUCUAGAAGGUGGAAAUGAACAACACCGCUUUUAAACGGUUACAGGUUUGAAGCCUGCAUCCCGGAACUCCAAAGUUCAUCUAG